GAUAAUUUGGUAAGAUUGAAGUCUGCUGUGUAGAUUGCGUACCACCAUGUUCUUCAGAGAGAAAGAGAAUAAAGGUUAAAAGAAAAAGAAAGCAGGAGAGACAAGGUUUUGCCACAUUGCCUAGGCUGGUCUUGAACUCAGAGCUCAAGCGGUCCACCCACCUCGGCCUCCUGAAGUGUUGGGAUUACAGGCUGGAGUGCAGUGGUGUGAGCACAGCUCACUGCAGCCUCAAACUCCUGGGCUCAAGUGCUGCUCCUGCCUCAGCCUCCUGCAAAGCUGGAACUACAGGUCACAUCUCAAAUAUGAACAUCACCCAGAGGUUACCCAGGUGAUCCCAGGCCAUCUCGGGUAUGCAGCUGUGCAGAACUUGAUCUUGAAGGACAGAUGGCAUUAGGGGGAGUUCUUUUAUACCUUGCACUGACCAGGGCUAAGUUUCUGACAUUUCUGUCUGCAGACAACAAAAGGCUUUCAUCAUGAGCUGCUUUCUGAUGCGUGCUUAAAACCAAGUUGAACGCAUUAAAAGGGCGAAGAAGCAGAAAUCUACUCGCUGUGCUCUGUGAAGAAUUAAAUAAAAUUUUGAUGGGGGUCGAAGGAAGGAGAAAUAGAUUUUAAAAAAUCUUUAUGCUCUCUCCUCCAAAAACUUGGAUUUAAUGUGUAUUUUGGGCUAAUUCUAAUUCUCCAUUCAUGCCAAUACACAUUAAAUCCUAUAUUUUCUUUAAAAAUAGACAUUUUAAAUAAAAUGUUUAAUGCAAAUUACAUUUAGCUGAGUUUG
rnacentral:lncRNA from 1 species